GAUGGACGCUAGCGGCAGGCUUAACACAUGCAAGUCGAGGGGUAGAGGCUUUCGGGCCUUGAGACCGGCGCACGGGUGCGUAACGCGUAUGCAAUCUACCUUUUACAGAGGGAUAGCCCAGAGAAACUUGGAUUAAUACCUCAUAGUAUCUUUGCCCGGCAUCGGGUGAUUAUUAAAGUUCCAACGGUAAAAGAUGAGCAUGCGUCCUAUUAGCUAGAUGGUAAGGUAACGGCUUACCAUGGCUACGAUAGGUAGGGGUCCUGAGAGGGAGAUCCCCCACACUGGUACUGAGACACGGACCAGACUCCUACGGGAGGCAGCAGUGAGGAAUAUUGGACAAUGGGCGCAAGCCUGAUCCAGCCAUGCCGCGUGCAGGAAGACGCAUCUAUGGUGUGUAAACUGCUUUUGUACGGGAAGAAACACUCCCUCGUGAGGGAGCUUGACGGUACCGUAAGAAUAAGGAUCGGCUAACUCCGUGCCAGCAGCCGCCGUAAUAC
rnacentral:rRNA from 1 species